CUCUGAAGAGGUUAUUUCAAUGCAGUCAUCUAACUCUGUGUGUAUCACUUCUAGAAAACUUAAUAGUUUAGUCUUUAUCUUACUUGCUUUCUCUUUGGCAUUUGAACUUUCCUGAAGCUUUAUUUUCCAAUGACUUCACUGACGUAUCUCAUGUUUUGAUUUUUUCCCCCUAUUUCUUUGGGUCCUCUUCUGUUGCCCCUAGAGGCUGUGCUCGCCUUCCUCAGUAUGACCUGGGCACUAGUCUGUCUCUCUAUACCUCCCUAUGUGAAAACCACUCAAAGCUUUUAAAAAUACCCUUAUAGUGAGUUUCCAAAAUCUGUACCUUAGCCCAGGUUUCCCCCACCUCCACACCGCCCCCCGCAGACUCCAGAUCCAUUUUGUUGGGGAGGAAAAUGAGUAUCUCAUCAUCCCAUAGACAUUUCCUAGAGCACCCUCCACAUAAUGCAAUCAUAACACCUAUUUUAUUUGGUAUAUAGAGAUCAUAAAUAUUUGGUCAGUGACUUCUACUUAUACCACCAUUCCAAUUUUCAGCAUCAUAUUUGAUACAUUUCCAGUUUGAGGAAGAGGUAUAUAAUUGAAUAUUUCUAAGUCUAUAUUCAUAUAUUCUUUAAGAAAAUAUAACAUUAGUACUGUAUUAGUAAGUUUUUAAAAGGUAUGCAUGUAUCUAAGACCAAAAAUUAAAAUACUGCAACCCUUAAAUCUUGAUCUGUUAAUGUCACUCUUAUUU
rnacentral:lncRNA from 1 species